GAUGAACGCUGGCGGCGUGCCUAACACAUGCAAGUCGAGCGGAAGGGCGCUGCUUUUGCGUGGUUCCCGAGUGGGGAGGGGGUGUGAAACACGUGAGUAUCCCGCCCUUUACUGUGUGAUAUCCUCAGGAGACUGCGGCUAAUACCUGAUAGGAGCUCCUGCUGCAUGGGGGUGUUUGGAAAGUUUCGGCGGUUGGGGAUCGAGUCGCGGGUUAUCAGCUUGUUGGUGGGGUAGCUGCGUACCAAGGCUUCGAUGGGUAGCCGGCAUGAUAGGGUGGACAGCCACAUUAGGACUGAGAGAGGGGCCAGACUGGUAAGGGAGGCAGCAGGGGGGAAUGUUGCACACUGGGCGGAAGCGUGUUGCGAAGGUGUUGGGAGCGGAAAGAACUCCUAGGGGGGAUGAACCGCUGUAGGCUGAGACGUAGCGUGAGUGACGGUAAUGACUAAAGAAGCACCGGCUAACUACGUG
rnacentral:rRNA from 1 species